UACGUAGGGUGCAAGCGUUGCCCGGAUUUAUUGGGCGUAAAGAGCUCGUAGGCGGUUUGUCGCGUCUGCUGUGAAAACCUAAGGCUCAACCUUGGGCUUGCAGUGGGUACGGGCAGACUAGAGUGCGGUAGGGGUGACUGGAAUUCCUGGUGUAGCGGUGGAAUGCGCAGAUAUCAGGAGGAACACCGAUGGCGAAGGCAGGUCACUGGGCCGCAACUGACGCUGAGACGCGAAAGCGUGGGGAGCGAACAGG
rnacentral:rRNA from 1 species